rnacentral:misc_RNA from 1 species
GUAUGCAUCUCUACCCACUGAUGAUUACUGGUUUUCCUGGGAGGGAAUUGGGAUUGAAACUUAUGAUUUAAUUAUAUCCAAUUGUUGGCAUUGCAAACUUUAUAUUGAUGUGAAAUAUUGUCUGCUUCUGCUGAGUCGAGAUUUUUAAUCCUGUAGGCCAAAAUUCGCUUCUUGUUUGCAUUUUAUUUUCUGAAAAAUAGAGAGGCAGAAGAUUUUUCUGAAAUGGAUGCUUCUUAUUUGCGGUUUAAUUGCUUGUUGUAAUUGUUCAUAUGUUUAUCAAGUAUACUUUCUUAGAAAAGCAUUUCUUUGUAGCAAAAGCAAAAUUUAUAGAAAUUACCUUUUGAGAUUAGUGUAAAACAAAAAGCAAGGUAACCAAUUUGAGCCUUAAUUUGUUAAAUUUGCUUCUCUCUUGCAACUACCUAUAGGAGUAACAUGGAAUGCAUCCUCUUUAUUAUGUGAAGUAAAAACUUGUUUGGUGUUUUAACAUCCAUGAUUAAAAUUUUCUACAUUUUACGAAGACCGACUCCACUAACAAAAUGGUAAACAGCAUUUCAGCUAAUUGCUUGUAAUUUUUCAAGGGCUACUGUAUGUGAUAUUUGACUGCAAAUUGUGAAGAAUUGGUAUGCUAAAUUUAAUCUUAUGUCUUGAAAUAGUUCUCUAUUCAUUAAUUUUUGAGGAACUAGUCAAGUUUCUAAAUCAAUUAAAAAAAAAAUUUGAAGAACUUCUAGUUAUAUUAGGGCAUAGAAUGAUGGUGUGAACUGUGAAAUUUUCGCUCUAUGCAAAGAUAGGCCUUUGGAGAGAAGUUGAAGGUCCUAGAAGCUUUCAGGGGUGCUUGGUUCGCUUCUAACAGAUUACUGAGAUAAAUAUUACUGUACUCUAUGCAUACCUGAUGCAGAUAAACAAGUCAAAAAAUUAGAGUUAUGGACUAGAUGUCAUAUAGGACUUAUUUGGCACAUGUUUGAUGGUGAAAAUAUUAAUUGGGAACUUAACUAGGCCUUAAUGGUCUUGUUUUGAUAUUUUUAAUGCAAGAAAGUUCAAAUUUUUAUCUUUUCUAAAAGCAGGGUCAAUUUGGUAAUUUCUGGAUUUGCUGGAAAAGUUGUCUGUAUGUCUUUAGGAGUCUUUAUUUUUAUUCUGGACUCUUAAUUUGAGUCUUUAUUGGUUUCAAUGAUCCUUUUAAUUUUCUUUGGACUCCAAAUCGUUACCAGUUUUGAGAUUCUAAUGUCUUGACGUUAUUAAUGUUGAUUAUUGAGUUCAUAAAUGCCUAUUAAUUCAGCUUUCAGUCAAUAGGAUUCUCCUGCAAUUUUUGUUCUUGGAUUGGGCGAUGCAAUUCAAUGCUAAGUGAUAUGACAAUAAAUGCUGAUGUAAGUAGAAACCUUAAUCUUGGGGUUUUCACCUUUCGAGAGACUUAGAAAGAAUUAGAGAGAGAGAGAAGAAGAAAGAGUGAAGAAGUAGAAGAGAAUUAGAUGGAAAAAAAUCAGUUUCUUACUAGAAUUUAGAAUAAGAAACUGCAGAUUAGGAGUCAAACUAUUUAUAACUGUUCCAUAACGGACUCUUUUAACCACCUAAUAGAAUACAAAGCCCUAACAAACUCCAACAACUCUAAUAACUUCCUAACUUCUUUUCCUUCUAGCUCAUUUAUUCUUCUUAUCUCUAAAUCUUCUCCUUUUAUACGUCACAAUUCCCUUCCCUUGAAAACCUUCUUUGCCCCAAGAAGGUUGAAAUUGAGGAAACAGAGUCUGUAGAAAUGACUUAUCCUCCCAAAUUGCAUCUUCACCAGUGAGAUGUGCCCAUUUGACUAACCCUUGAAGGACUGAAGCACCAUCUCUUAAAAUAGCUCUUGUCUGCAGCAGCUUUUCUGGGCAAACUUCCACUGUUAGAUCAUCUUGCAAGGCAGGAAGGUUUAAAAUUGGGGUAAUAAUGGCCCCAAUUUUCCUUUUUAACAAGGAUACAUGAAACACUAGAUGCACAGUGGAAGAAGAGGGAAACACAAGCUUGUAAGCAGCAACACCAACCCUUGCCACAACCUGAAAUGGCCCAUAGUACCUUGCUGCCAGCUUAAGAGACUUCCUUAUUGUUGGUUUUUGAAAGAAGGAUAUAGAAGCAUGUGUUGAGACUGAAUAGUCUUCAAAUUGUGUCACUUUAUUGAUUGAUUUUGCAUUUAUAUAAUAACAUGGCUGCUAAAUUUAAAAAUAAAAAAUAUAACAGAAAAAUCUCAAAAAUAUUAUAUAAGUUGUUGGCAGUAUCUUUUUGCUUUUAUCGGAGCUAAUCUUUAUCUCUUUCAACUUCCUAUCUGCAGCAGAUGAGGCAUAUCUCCAACACUUAUGGCAAGAGAGGUUUACCUAUAGGGCUGCAACUUCAAGUACACCAAAUCCCCAACAUGAAAUUCCUUUUCCACCCUUUUCUUAUCAGCUUACUGCUUAAUUCUAUUCUGGGCUUGCAGCAAAUUGUCUCUCAACAAUGCUUACAUUUGCUUUCUUUGCUGAAGAAGAUGAUUAGCUUCGAGUUUAUACUAGAAGGGAAUGAUGAAAUCUUGCAAAAUUUUGGCCUUUUGCCUUGUAUGCCGACGACGUAAGUGUGAAUCCUUGUCUCCAGCUGGACUUCUAUAGCCAUUGCCAAGGGAUUUGGGAAUAUCUUUCUCUUGAUUUCAUAAGGGGCUUGCCAAAAUCCUAUGGCAUGGAUUGAAUCUUGGUGGUGGUUGAUCGUUUAGCCAAGUAAGGUCAUUUUGUUCCUCUUCGGCACCCUUAUAU